UAGCAUUUUUUUUACUGAGUUUGUUACAAAUAUUCAGGUUAAAAAACUGUCCGAAUUAUUUUUAAUGAGUUAUGUUCACAAAGUCACAUGUGCAGUACUCUGUACAGCUUGCAUCCUUUAGGACAAAUAAUUUGAAGCAUUGAUAUUUCUUGUUCAAUACCACUGCUGAUAACACCUCCGUAUGUUGUGACCAGGAUGCAGCAGCAGACUGAACCUCGACUGAAACCUGCUCCAUCAUCUCAUCUUUGCAGAUGUCCAUUUAUAAAGCAUCAACAACUCAAAGGAGCCGUCCUCAGAUUCAGACCUCAGCACCACCCAGUGACAGCAGACAGACCAUCCUAUAUCUUCAGUCUUUGUAGUAACUCCAAAA